rnacentral:rRNA from 1 species
UGGGGAAUAUUGCACAAUGGGCGAAAGCCUGAUGCAGCAACGCCGCGUGAGUGAUGAAGGCCUUCGGGUUGUAAAGCUCUGUCUUUUGGGACGAUAAUGACGGUACCAAAGGAGGAAGCCACGGCUAACUACGUGCCAGCAGCCGCGGUAAUACGUAGGUGGCAAGCGUUGUCCGGAUUUACUGGGCGUAAAGGAUGCGUAGGCGGAUUUUUAAGUGAGAUGUGAAAUACCCGGGCUUAACUUGGGUGCUGCAUUUCAAACUGGGAAUCUAGAGUGCGGGAGAGGAGAAUGGAAUUCCUAGUGUAGCGGUGAAAUGCGUAGAGAUUAGGAAGAACACCAGUGGCGAAGGCGAUUCUCUGGACCGUAGCUGACGCUGAGGCAUGAAAGCGUGGGUAGCAAACAGGAUUAGAUACCCUGGUAGUCCACGCCGUAAACGAUGAGUACUAGGUGUAGGAGGUAUCGACCCCUUCUGUGCCGCAGUUAACACAAUCAAGUACUCCGCCUGGGGAAGUACGAUCGCAAGAUUAAAACUCAAAGGAAUUGACGGGGUCAUAGCUGUUUCCU